AGCUCGUAGGUGGUUCGUCACGUCGGAUGUGAAAAUCUGGGGCUUAACCCCAGACCUGCAUUCGAUACGGGCGAGCUAGAGUGUGGUAGGGGAGACUGGAAUUCCUGGUGUAGCGGUGGAAUGCGCAGAUAUCAGGAGGAACACCAAUGGCGAAGGCAGGUCUCUGGGCCAUUACUGACACUGAGGAGCGAAAGCGUGGGGAGCGAACAGGAUUAGAUACCCUGGUAGUCCACGCCGUAAACGGUGGGCACUAGUUGUGGGAACCUUCCACGGUUUCUGCGACGCAGCUAACGCAUUAAGUGCCCCGCCUGGGGAGUACGAUCGCAAGAUUAAAACUCAAAGGAAUUGACGGGGCCCCGCACAAGCGGCGGAGCAUGCGGCUUAAUUCGACGCAACGCGAAGAACCUUACCAAGGCUUGACAUAUACAGGAAUAUGGCAGAGAUGUCAUAGCCGCAAGGUCUGUAUACAGGUGGUGCAUGGUUGUCGUCAGCUCGUGUCGUGAGAUGUUGGGUUAAGUCCCGCAACGAGCGCAACCCUUGUCAUUAGUUGCUACGAAAGGGCACUCUAAUGAGACUGCCGGUGACAAACCGGAGGAAGGUGGGGAUGACGUCAAGUCCUCAUGGCCCUUAUGGGUAGGGCUUCACACGUCAUACAAUGGUACAUACAGAGGGCCGCCAACCCGCGAGGGGGAGCUAAUCCCAGAAAGUGUAUCGUAGUCCGGAUUGUAGUCUGCAACUCGACUGCAUGAAGUUGGAAUCGCUAGUAAUCGCGGAUCAGCAUGUCGCGGUGAAUACGUUCCCGGGUCUUGUACACACCGCCCGUCACACCAUGGGAGCGGGUUUCACCAGAAGUAAGUAGCUUAACCGCAAGGAGGGCGCUUACCACGGUGGGAUUCGUGACUGGGGUGAAGUCGUAACAAGGUAA
rnacentral:rRNA from 1 species